GAUGAACGCUGGCGGCGUGCCUAAUACAUGCAAGUCGAGCGAACGGACGAGAAGCUUGCUUCUCUGAUGUUAGCGGCGGACGGGUGAGUAACACGUGGAUAACCUACCUAUAAGACUGGGAUAACUUCGGGAAACCGGAGCUAAUACCGGAUAAUAUUUUGAACCGCAUGGUUCAAAAGUGAAAGACGGUCUUGCUGUCACUUAUAGAUGGAUCCGCGCUGCAUUAGCUAGUUGGUAAGGUAACGGCUUACCAAGGCAACGAUGCAUAGCCGACCUGAGAGGGUGAUCGGCCACACUGGAACUGAGACACGGUCCAGACUCCUACGGGAGGCAGCAGUAGGGAAUCUUCCGCAAUGGGCGAAAGCCUGACGGAGCAACGCCGCGUGAGUGAUGAAGGUCUUCGGAUCGUAAAACUCUGUUAUUAGGGAAGAACAUAUGUGUAAGUAACUGUGCACAUCUUGACGGUACCUAACCAGAAAGCCACGGCUAACUACGUGCCAGCAGCCGCGGUAAUACGUAGGUGGCAAGCGUUAUCCGGAAUUAUUGGGCGUAAAGCGCGCGUAGGCGGUUUUUUAAGUCUGAUGUGAAAGCCCACGGCUCAACCGUGGAGGGUCAUUGGAAACUGGAAAACUUGAGUGCAGAAGAGGAAAGUGGAAUUCCAUGUGUAGCGGUGAAAUGCGCAGAGAUAUGGAGGAACACCAGUGGCGAAGGCGACUUUCUGGUCUGUAACUGACGCUGAUGUGCGAAAGCGUGGGGAUCGAACAGGAUUAGAUACCCUGGUAGUCCACGCCGUAAACGAUGAGUGCUAAGUGUUAGGGGGUUUCCGCCCCUUAGUGCUGCAGCUAACGCAUUAAGCACUCCGCCUGGGGAGUACGACCGCAAGGUUGAAACUCAAAGGAAUUGACGGGGACCCGCACAAGCGGUGGAGCAUGUGGUUUAAUUCGAAGCAACGCGAAGAACCUUACCAAAUCUUGACAUCCUUUGACAACUCUAGAGAUAGAGCCUUCCCCUUCGGGGGACAAAGUGACAGGUGGUGCAUGGUUGUCGUCAGCUCGUGUCGUGAGAUGUUGGGUUAAGUCCCGCAACGAGCGCAACCCUUAAGCUUAGUUGCCAUCAUUAAGUUGGGCACUCUAAGUUGACUGCCGGUGACAAACCGGAGGAAGGUGGGGAUGACGUCAAAUCAUCAUGCCCCUUAUGAUUUGGGCUACACACGUGCUACAAUGGACAAUACAAAGGGCAGCGAAACCGCGAGGUCAAGCAAAUCCCAUAAAGUUGUUCUCAGUUCGGAUUGUAGUCUGCAACUCGACUACAUGAAGCUGGAAUCGCUAGUAAUCGUAGAUCAGCAUGCUACGGUGAAUACGUUCCCGGGUCU
rnacentral:rRNA from 1 species